UAAAUUCAGUUAGCAUCGUCUCUAAAUUAGUGAACAUUUACUGUAUAUACUUAUUAAGAAUUAAAAGAAAAUAAUCUCUAUGCUCCAGCUCACCAUGACUAAGUAUUAAAAGUGGUGGUGUUUUCUAAAAUCUAGAUUUCUUAAAUCAGCUCUCCAUGCCAACAUUUUCCAUCUGGACCUUGCUCUACCCUUUCUAACCUGCAGUGUUGUUUAACACACAGUGACCACGUGGCCUCAUCAUUUUUAAUGGCGAUUUGACAGAUUUCUUUCUAGUUGACUUUCAACGGCCACAUCACUCAUCUUGCUGUUCGGAGGCCGUCAGAAAGAAGUAAAGACUGGAAGAUAACGUGACUGCUGGGUAGUGACAGGGCCUGUCUCCUGACCGCGGCUCAGCGUACCUUCCACAGGAAAAACCUACACGACCGUGUGCUGCCCAUGCCCAGGUGAACUCUGCCCAGUAGAGGGACCGUCCUUCCUCCAUGUGGUAAAAACUCUAAAUGUUUCCAGUAAGGAUGUAAAUGAGAAAGGACGCUACAUUCUUUUCUGGAUGUUGGAAUAAAUAGUAAAGAAGAAGCCA